CCUACGGGUGGCAGCAGUGAGGGAUAUUGGUCAAUGGGGGAAACCCUGAACCAGCAACGCCGCGUGAGGGAAGACGGUUUUCGGAUUGUAAACCUCUGUCCUCUGUGAAGAUAAUGACGGUAGCAGAGGAGGAAGCUCCGGCUAACUACGUGCCAGCAGCCGCGGUAAUACGUAGGGGGCAAGCGUUAUCCGGAUUUACUGGGUGUAAAGGGAGCGUAGACGGCGAUGCAAGUCUGAAGUGAAAGGCGGGGGCCCAACCCCUGGACUGCUUUGGAAACUGUAUGGCUGGAGUGCAGGAGAGGUAAGUGGAAUUCCUAGUGUAGCGGUGAAAUGCGUAGAUAUUAGGAGGAACACCAGUGGCGAAGGCGGCUUACUGGACUGUAACUGACGUUGAGGCUCGAAAGCGUGGGGAGCAAACAGGAUUAGAUACCCCAGUAGUC
rnacentral:rRNA from 1 species